CAGUAGGGUUAUUAAUAGUAGUGAACAGGUAGCUUGGCGCGAACCGUGGCGCAUCACGCCACGUAAGGCACCGAUAGGAGAUAGGAAUAAUAUUUCACUGCAUCAGCAGUAUAAUUCUAUAAAACGGUAGAGCACACGAGGCUCUACCUCUUUCUUGUAAUAACAGCGAGUGUGGUAAUAAAUGUGUAGUUAAUUAAAUUUGCUUUUUAAAAAGUGAACUCAAACGAAAAAUCCCGUAACUGGUGUCAGAAGUGGGAUUCUGACAGUGAGUGUAAUAUAAAGUGACAAAAGUGAUAGUGCUUCGUUGGUCACGUUUAGCAAAAGCUAAAGACCUCUACCCUUUUGACAUCGCAGCGACAUCGGCUUGGAGGAAGCCGCAUCACGCUUAGCAGCCGUCAGGGAACCGGAUCGUCAGGCGCCGCAACGACACCCCGAAGACGACAACUGUUUGUCCGCUCACUGCAACGACGGAUGAAAUUACAUCUACUAUCUCAUUUCAGGUACCGACCAGAUGGAAUUCAUACGGAAAUGCCACAACUUCAAUCAUAGAAAUUACAAGUUAACAUACGAGGAAAUCAGGAAAUCUGCCUUUUUCCCGGAAUGUUAGGCAAAAUCAAAACAUUUAUCAAAAAUUGUGAGGACUGCAAGUUCGCUAAAUACGAACGCAAACCAUUUAAAAUUCCAAUUUCCAGGAGAAUCUACGAAAACCCUUUUGAAAACGUGUUUAUUGAUGUCUAUGUUAAAGAUCAUUACAAAUUCCUUACUCUCGUAGACUCGUUCUCGAAAUUUGCCCAAAUUUUCCAAAUUUCAAACGAAACAACUGAAGAGCUAACAAGCACUCUAGUCGAAUAUUUCAAAAUCUUUGGAAUACCUAAAAUGAUUACUUGCGAUCAAGCACCGGGAUUUAGAAAUCCUCGAUUUAGAGAGUUCUUGGAGAAACAUGGUAUUGCAUUGCACUUUGCCAGCAAUAGCAAUAGCAAUGGUAUUGUGGAAAGAUUCCACAGUACUUUGCUCGAGAUGUAUUUGGCGAAUAAACGGAAAGUUGAAGACCUUACAUUAUACGAAGGCUUAGCCCUGACCACUUCAUUGUACAAUGACUCGAUCCACAGUAGCACCAAACUUAAGCCUCGAGAUAUUAUUUUCAGCACAUGCGCUUCAUUGAAGCAAUCCGAGAUAAAUACCUCGAAGCUUAGAAACAUCCAAACUGCAAAGGACAACAUCAAAUACUUAGCACAAAAACACAACAAUAAGUUACCCCUUAUCGACUUUGAGAAAUACAAAACAUUGACUAGUCCAAUUUUGGUAAAAGGAAAAGCGAAGCCGAGCCCUUAUGGCCACCGAUAUAGGGAAAUAGAAAUCAUGGAUCAAACCGACAAAACCGUAACAGACUCUCAAAACAUUAAGACACACAAGAAGAACGUUAAACAUACAUAAUUAUUAUUCUUACAGACUAUGUCUUCUGGCCACGACGAUCGACGCGGACAUCCACAUACACGACAUAGAGAAAAAUCCAGUUAUCAUCAUCCCCAUAGGCCCAGCAAGAAUCAGUAAUAGCUAUUUGAGAAUA